rnacentral:rRNA from 1 species
CUGCAGUCGACGGUGAGACGGGACUUGCUCUGUCUGAUCAGUGGCGAACGGGUGAGUACACGUGAGUAACCUGCCCCCGACUCUGGAAUAACCGUGGGAAACGACGGCUAAUACCGGAUAUGAGACGCACGGGCAUCUGUGUGUCUGGAAAGAUUUAUCGGUCAGGGAUGGACUCGCGGCCUAUCAGCUUGUUGGUGGGGUAAUGGCCCACCAAGGCGACGACGGGUAGCCGGCCUGAGAGGGCGACCGGCCACACUGGGACUGAGAUACGGCCCAGACUCCUACGGGAGGCAGCAGUGGGGAAUAUUGCACAAUGGGCGCAAGCCUGAUGCAGCGACGCCGCGUGAGGGAUGAAGGCCUUCGGGUUGUAAACCUCUUUCAGCAGGGAAGAAGCGAAAGUGACGGUACCUGCAGAAGAAGCGCCGGCUAACUACGUGCCAGCAGCCGCGGUAAUACGUAGGGCGCAAGCGUUGUCCGGAAUUAUUGGGCGUAAAGAGCUCGUAGGCGGUUUGUCGCGUCUGCUGUGAAAACCUGAGGCUCAACCUCGGGCUUGCAGUGGGUACGGGCAGACUAGAGUGCGGUAGGGGUGACUGGAAUUCCUGGUGUAGCGGUGGAAUGCGCAGAUAUCAGGAGGAACACCGAUGGCGAAGGCAGGUCACUGGGCCGCAACUGACGCUGAGGAGCGAAAGCAUGGGGAGCGAACAGGAUUAGAUACCCUGGUAGUCCAUGCCGU